rnacentral:rRNA from 1 species
CGAGCGCCCCGCAAGGGGAGCGGCAGACGGGUGAGUAACGCGUGGGAACGUACCUUUUGCUACGGAAUAACUCAGGGAAACUUGUGCUAAUACCGUAUGUGCCCUUCGGGGGAAAGAUUUAUCGGCAAAGGAUCGGCCCGCGUUGGAUUAGCUAGUUGGUGAGGUAAAGGCUCACCAAGGCGACGAUCCAUAGCUGGUCUGAGAGGAUGAUCAGCCACACUGGGACUGAGACACGGCCCAGACUCCUACGGGAGGCAGCAGUGGGGAAUAUUGGACAAUGGGCGCAAGCCUGAUCCAGCCAUGCCGCGUGAGUGAUGAAGGCCCUAGGGUUGUAAAGCUCUUUCACCGGUGAAGAUAAUGACGGUAACCGGAGAAGAAGCCCCGGCUAACUUCGUGCCAGCAGCCGCGGUAAUACGAAGGGGGCUAGCGUUGUUCGGAUUUACUGGGCGUAAAGCGCACGUAGGCGGACUUUUAAGUCAGGGGUGAAAUCCCGGGGCUCAACCCCGGAACUGCCUUUGAUACUGGAAGUCUUGAGUAUGGUAGAGGUGAGUGGAAUUCCGAGUGUAGAGGUGAAAUUCGUAGAUAUUCGGAGGAACACCAGUGGCGAAGGCGGCUCACUGGACCAUUACUGACGCUGAGGUGCGAAAGCGUGGGGAGCAAAGGGGAUUAGAUACC